rnacentral:rRNA from 1 species
UGCCAGACUCCUACGGGAGGCAGCAGUGGGGAAUAUUGCACAAUGGGGGAAACCCUGAUGCAGCGACGCCGCGUGAGCGAUGAAGUAUUUCGGUAUGUAAAGCUCUAUCAGCAGGGAAGAAAAUGACGGUACCUGACUAAGAAGCCCCGGCUAACUACGUGCCAGCAGCCGCGGUAAUACGUAGGGGGCAAGCGUUAUCCGGAUUUACUGGGUGUAAAGGGAGCGUAGACGGUCCUGCAAGCCAGAUGUGAAAGCACGGGGCUCAACCCCGGGACUGCAUUUGGAACUGUAAGGCUAGAGUGUCGGAGAGGCAGGCGGAAUUCCUAGCGUAGCGGUGAAAUGCGUAGAUAUUAGGAGGAACACCAGUGGCGAAGGUGGCCUGCUGGACGAUGACUGACGUUGAGGCUCGAAAGCGUGGGGAGCAAACAGGAUUAGAUACCCGUGUAUAA